rnacentral:lncRNA from 1 species
AUUCUAAUUUUUCAUUUUUGCCACAUGUUUUGCGUGACUACAAUGAUAAAUUUUAGCACAAUAUAUAAUAUUAAAUAUUUUUGACACAACAACAACAAGAACAAUAAGAACAAUAACAAGAACAACAAAAACAAGAAGAAGAAGAAGAAGAAGAAGAAGAAGAAGAAGAAGAAGAAGAAAAAGAAAAAGAAAAAGAAGAUGAAGAAGAAGAACAAAAACAACAAAAGCACAUCUUUAUUUAUUGGCUCAGUACUAGAGUCUUUAACCUUGACUCAAUACCAUUAAUGUCAAAUCUACAAAACUAAUCCAGGAGGCGAGAAACAUGCCAAGCAGAUUUGAAACAUGAUGACUAACAACUAUUUUGUAACACCAAAAAUGGAAUGAAUAGGUCGAAAG